UUGGAACCGGCGUCACUCCCAGCAACGGCCGCGAGAUCGCGAAGAAAUAAAUAAGCGAGGAACGCUGCCGCCGGGACUGGCUGCCCCGCUACAGGAAGCAGCCGCCAUCUUGAGUGAUGGCAAACUGCCUCGCUCGCUGUAGGUCGGCCAUCUUGGACGAGGGGUGAGGCGGCUGGCAGGAAGGUGAGGCUACGGCUGCCAUGUUGAGUGAGGGCAGCUCGACUGGAUCUCGGUGGUGCCGCCUUAUGAGGUGGUUUGACUUCUAAUUCUUGAGGGCUAGGGUAACGCUUUUUUGCAUAGGAAAUUGUUUAUCGUAAGAUUUUGCUCCUUUGAAGUUUACGGGGAAGCAUUCUGAUCCUGUAUUUAUGAUCCCACAAUCCUGUUUUCAAAUCCGUCUCUGGAACAGACGGGGCGAUCACCGUUCCAUCUUUCACGUCUCUGUGUAACCAGAGGGUAAACAUCUUGAACUUCAGAGUCUGCAAGCCACCUGAUCCCGGGGGAGUCCCCAGGGCCUGUCUUCGUACAGCUGAAACCUCAGUUCUUAAGCGUCGGGCUCUGCCAGAGUUCCCUCCUUCAGAGAGUAGGACCAGGCAAGGCAGGAGAGAGAUGGACACUUUGGUCUGUAAAUGCAUCAGCUCUUCGUCCUGGAAAGUGAAGUUUUUCUUCUUACUGGCUUCCUGUCCACACAAGCCUGUAUGAGCCAUGCAGCUUUCAGAGGAUACUCUUAGAGACAACAGCCCAGUUCAUCGGCACAGGCGUGAAGAACUGCACACAGAGAAGGAACAGCCUUCCUACUAUGGUUGUGUCCAGAGCCGGCUGUCACUUCUCCACACAGACGAUGGCACCUGAGCCGGUUUGGAAUCUACAGUUCUAACAAGUUCAGCCAAGUUUUGUAAGCUGAAGAUCUCCAUUUAUCUUUAUCGUGUCAAUUGCUGACAGUGUUUCAAUACGGUGGUAAAAAUCAAAGAGCUGAUGUCCAUCCACAAAUAUUCUAAAACGGGGAUGCUCACAAAGUAUCUCAACCUGUAAAAAAUAAAAUGAUGAACCAUGUUCACAACAUAACUGGGAAGAUCUUUCACAGGAUGCAAAGAGCACCUUUCAGCAGCACUGGUAUGGCUACACAUCUUGCUACUUGCACGCCAUGUCACAGAGAAAGCUGAGCCCACUUUGCCCCCACGACCCCAGUUCCACUACAAGGGAUCUGCUCUCACUUCUCAGAGAUGUUAAUCCAGUCUCACACUGUCACGGUGGGGAGAAGCCCCAAACCCUGAUGCACAACUCUGCAGAUUAUGGUCCUGCUGGCACCAUGGAGGUUUUCUCUCUGUGAAUAAUGCCAGAAGCAAACUGCUAAUUAAAGGUAUAUCCAA